rnacentral:lncRNA from 1 species
GGACCCUGCACAACCGAGGGAAAGGAUAUAUUAAUGGAAUCCUAAGCUGCAAACACUGAAGUGAAAAUUAAGGAAGUUUAUUCUGCAUUUUGUCCCUAUAAAGCCAAAAGGCGAGACAGAAAAUGAAGUUUGCUUUUUUUCCACACACAGCACUGGAGGAGCACAUUUAAAUUAAAAAAAAAAAAAAGUCAUUGUUUUUAGAUGCAUGCAUGUGGGUGAUUAAAAUCCAAAUCCCCAUUGCUGUUUUUGUUAUUUUCAGUAUUUAAGAAAGGUUUGAAAUGUUUAAUGCAUUUUCAGAUUUGCUCUUCUGGAAGAGUGAACAAAGGCCAUUGUUGACAGUCUUCAGUUUCUCCUGGGAAAGGUUGGGAGAAAGAAGGACUUUCUUCCCUCCCAGGUGGACUCAUUUAGGCUGGGAGCUGUCCAGUGCUGAACAAAUCUUCUUGUCUAGACCUCCAACUGUCUCAGCCACCCAGACAGGCAAUCUUGGACCUUCAUUCUCAUCAAAGGCCCUCAGGCACCCAAUGUAUAGACCCACCACUUAGCUUUCCCCACCUCGCUCUGGCCACUCCCAAAUCUGGACCAAGGUCAUGUUGGAGCCACUCACUUGUCUUAUCCUUCUUAUCCUCGCCAUUGGCAAGCACCAAACAUCUUUAACAGAGCCUGCCAA